GGAUUAGAUACCCUGGUAGUCCACGCCGUAAACGAUGUCUACUAGCCGUUGGUGACUUUAUGUUGCUGGUGGCGCAGUUAACGCGAUAAGUAGACCGCCUGGGGAGUACGGCCGCAAGGUUAAAACUCAAAUGAAUUGACGGGGGCCCGCACAAGCGGUGGAGCAUGUGGUUUAAUUCGAUGCAACGCGAAGAACCUUACCAGGUCUUGACAUCCUCAGAACUUUCCAGAGAUGGAUUGGUGCCUUCGGGAACUGAGUGACAGGUGCUGCAUGGCUGUCGUCAGCUCGUGCCG
rnacentral:rRNA from 1 species